rnacentral:tRNA from 1 species
GCCGAUGUAGCUCAAAGGUAGAGCAACUGACUUGUAAUCAGUAGGUUGCCAGUUCAAUUCUGGCCAUCGGCU